rnacentral:rRNA from 1 species
CUACGGGAGGCAGCAGUGGGGAAUAUUGCACAAUGGGCGCAAGCCUGAUGCAGCCAUGCCGCGUGUAUGAAGAAGGCCUUCGGGUUGUAAAGUACUUUCAGCGGGGAGGAAGGGAGUAAAGUUAAUACCUUUGCGCAUUGACGUUACCCGCAGAAGAAGCACCGGCUAACUCCGAGCCAGCAGCCGCGGUAAUACGGAGGGUGCAAGCGUUAAUCGGAAUUACUGGGCGUAAAGCGCACGCAGGCGGUUUGUUAAGUCGGAUGUGAAAUCCCCGGGCUCAACCUGGGAACUGCAUCUGAUACUGGCAAGCUUGAGUCUCGUAGAGGGGGGUAGAAUUCCAGGUGUAGCGGUGAAAUGCGUAGAGAUCUGGAGGAAUACCGGUGGCGAAGGCAGCCCCCUGGACGAAGAUUGACGCUCAGGUGCGAAAGCGUGGGGAGCAAACAGGAUUAGAUACCCCCGUAGUC